rnacentral:rRNA from 1 species
UGCCUAUAAUGGGGGAUAACUAUUGGAAACGGUAGCUAAUACCGCAUAAUGUCGAAAGACCAAAGUGGGGGACCUUUAUGGCCUCACGUUAUUAGAUGUGCCCAGAUGAGAUUAGCUAGUAGGUAAGGUAAUGGCUUACCUAGGCUACGAUCUCUAGCUGGUCUGAGAGGAUGACCAGCCACACUGGAACUGAGACACGGUCCAGACUCCUACGGGAGGCAGCAGUGGGGAAUAUUGCACAAUGGGCGAAAGCCUGAUGCAGCUAUACCGCGUGUGUGAAGAAGGCCUUAGGGUUGUAAAGCACUUUCAGCAAGGAGGAAGGAUAAUAUAUUAAUACUAUAUUAUAUUGACGUUACUUGCAAAAGAAGCACCGGCUAACUCCGUGCCAGCAGCCGCGGUAAUACGGAGGGUGCGAGCGUUAAUCGGAAUUACUGGGCGUAAAGCGCACGUAGGUGGUUUAUUAAGUCAGAUGUGAAAUCCCUGCGCUUAACGUAGGAACUGCAUUUGAAACUAAUGAACUAGAGUCUUGUAGAGGGGGGUAGAAUUCCAGGUGUAGCGGUGAAAUGCGUAGAGAUCUGGAGGAAUACCAGUGGCGAAGGCGGCCCCCUGGACAAAGACUGACACUCAGGUGCGAAAGCGUGGGGAGCAAACAGGAUUAGAUACCCUGGUAGUCCACGCUGUAAACGAUGUCGAUUUGGAGGUUGUAUCCUUGAGAUAUGGCUUCCGGAGCUAACGCGUUAAAUCGACCGCCUGGGGAGUACGGCCGCAAGGUUAAAACUCAAAUGAAUUGACGGGGGCCCGCACAAGCGGUGGAGCAUGUGGUUUAAUUCG